GUUCGACUACGGGGGGCAGCAGUAGGGAAUCUUCCACAAUGGGCGAAAGCCUGAUGGAGCAACGCCGCGUGGGUGAAGAAGGUCUUCGGAUCGUAAAACCCUGUUGUUAGAGAAGAAAGCGCGUGAGAGUAACUGAUCACGUUUCGACGGUAUCUAACCAGAAAGCCACGGCUAACUACGUGCCAGCAGCCGCGGUAAUACGGAGGGGGCAAGCGGUAUCCGGAUUUAUUGGGCGUAAAGGGAACGCAGGCGGUCUUUUAAGUCUGAUGUGAAAG
rnacentral:rRNA from 1 species